rnacentral:rRNA from 1 species
AUGGAGCCGUCGUCGUCCAUCACGUUCGCCUCCUCGUCGUCCUACCUGUCCAACGGCUCUAGCCCCUGCUCCGGCGCUCUGGCGCCGCUGCCCGCGGCGGACGGGUGGGGCGGUGGCGGUGGAGGGGGAGGGGGAGGGAGCAGCAGCAGCGUCGAGGCCGUGAGCCUGAAUCGCCUCAGCAGCAAUCUCGAGCGCCUCCUCCUCGAUUCUGAACUCGACUGCAGCGACGCUGACGUCGACGUCGCGGACGGCGGUCCGCCCAUCCCCGUCCACCGUUGCAUCCUCGCCGUGCGCAGCUCCUUCUUCCACGACCUCUUCCGCGCCCGCGGGAGCCGCAGUGAUGGGGCCGUCACUGCCUCUGCCUCCGCCACCGGAGGCGGAGCGGGAGGGGAUGUGAACGGGAGGCCGCAGUACAAGAUGGAGGACCUCGUCCCAGGUGGCCGUGUGGGCCGCGAGGCCUUCCUAGCGUUCAUGGGGUACCUCUACACGGGCAGGCUCCGGCCGGCGCCGCUGGACGUGGUGUCAUGUGCUGAUCUUGUGUGCCCGCACGACUCGUGCCCGCCGGCUAUCAGGUUCGCCGUCGAGCUCAUGUACGCGGCUUGGACCUUCAGGAUCCCCGAGCUCAUGUCGCUGUUCCAGCUUCAGGCUAGAAAUGUUCGACUCAUGCGACGGCUUAUGAACUUUGUUGACAAGACUCUGGCGGAAGACGUCCUACCUAUUUUGCAAGUUGCUUUCCACUCGGAGCUUACUCAAGUGCGUGAAAAAUGUGUUCAAAGGAUUGCAAGAUCGGAUCUUGAUAUUAUGUCUUUGGAUAAGGAACUCCCUCCAGAAAUUGCUGACGAGAUAAAAAAGAUCCGUCAGAAAUCUCCGCCAAUUGAUGGUGACACCAUCAUUUCGGACCCUGUACACGAGAAAAGAGUAAGAAGAAUCCACAGGGCACUGGAUUCUGAUGAUGUUGAACUUGUCAAGUUGCUUCUUAAUGAGUCUGAAAUCACCCUUGACGACGCAAACGCAUUGCAUUAUGCUGCAGCUUACUGCGAUUCCAAAGUUCUUACAGAGUUGUUAGGCCUGGAACUUGCCAACUUGAAUUUGAAGAACAGUCGUGGGUACACAGCACUCCACCUAGCUGCUAUGAGGAGAGAACCAGCUAUUAUUAUGUGUCUCUUAAGCAAAGGAGCAGUGGCGUCGCAAUUGACAGAUGACGGCCGCCUUGCAAGUAAUAUUUGUCGAAGGUUAACAAGACUAAAAGAUUACAAUGCGAAGAUGGAGCAGGGCCAAGAGUCAAAUAAAGAUAGGAUGUGCAUUGACAUCCUAGAGAGGGAGAUGAUGAGGAAUCCUAUGACAGCGGAAGAUUCUGUCACCUCACCUUUAUUGGCUGAUGAUCUUCACAUGAAACUAAGCUACCUGGAAAACAGAGUCGCGUUCGCAAGACUGUUCUUCCCUGCUGAAGCGAAGGUUGCCAUGCAAAUUGCACAAGCAGACGUCACACCAGAAGUUGGUGGUUUUUCUGCAGCAAGUACUUCUGGUAAACUGAGGGAAGUCGAUCUGAAUGAGACGCCAGUAACAAAAAACAAAAGGCUGCGUUCAAGGGUGGAUGCACUAGCGAAAACAGUGGAACUGGGCCGUCGGUACUUCCCAAACUGCUCGCAGGUGCUCGACAAAUUCUUGGAAGAUGGCCUGCCUGAUGGCCUUGAUGCGUUCCAGCAGCAAAGCGGCACCCCUGAUGAGCAACAGGUGAAGAAGAUGCGCUUCUGUGAGGUGAAGGAGGACGUGCGCAAAGCAUACAGCAAAGACACGGCCGAUAACAGCAUGUUUUCGGCCCUGUCGUCAAACUCCUCGUCCUCGGCGAUGAAGUGA